UACGAAGGGGGCUAGCGUUGCUCGGAAUCACUGGGCGUAAAGCGCACGUAGGCGGAUCUUUAAGUCAGGGGUGAAAUCCCGGAGCUCAACUCCGGAACUGCCUUUGAUACUGAGGGUCUCGAGUUCGGGAGAGGUGAGUGGAACUGCGAGUGUAGAGGUGAAAUUCGUAGAUAUUCGCAAGAACACCAGUGGCGAAGGCGGCUCACUGGCCCGAUACUGACGCUGAGGUGCGAAAGCGUGGGGAGCAACAGG
rnacentral:rRNA from 1 species